CUUGUAUAUCAUAUACACGAGAGGGAAAGCAAUCUGAGGAGGGAACGAAACGAAGAAGUGAAAGAGAAAUGUAGGUUUUUAAGCUUUGAUUCUCCAUUUCUCCAAUCUUUCCAUUGAUUUAGAGGUAAGUGUAAAACUGUUGAAUUAUACUUUUGAGUUUAUGGAAAAAUUUCUCAAAUUUAAGGUUUAGCAAAAAUUAAUAAUUAUUGAUAUAUAUAUUUGAGUUAUGAAACAAAAAUAAUAAUAUUAGUGUUGAAAGAAAUGAAAGGUGAAAUAGGUUUGUAAAUUAGAGUUUCAAUCUUUAAUUUAUUGUGUUUGUAUGAUAUAAAACACUUGAUUUAUGAGGUAUUAGAGUGGUAAAAUGAUUUCGGGUUAGAUUUUGAUAUUUAUAAUUAAUUUUCGUGCAAAAUUCAUGUGUAGGUGCUAUUUCUUAAAUUAAUCCCAGAAAGUGCUAUUUUCAGUCAAUAGAUUCGGUCACACUUUUCAAUACAAAGAAAUUGGUGCCAGAUUUCAAUAGUCGGGGAUUUUAGCGCUGUUUUUGUCAAACCUUUAAUUUCUCAGAUUUUAUAAAUUUGAAUGAAACUAAAUGAUAAAUAUUGGAGUCUAUUUAUUGGAUUAAAUCAUGUAUAUGAAUUAUUUGUUCAAUAAUAUGAUUACCAUGGAAGUUUAUUUUAUUAUGAUGCAUGUAAAAUUUCAAAGAUUAUAUAUAGUACAUUUGUGAAUUGGAAUAUGAGACGUGAUAUUGAGAUCGACCAGAAAAGUACCCAUAAUUAUAUACUUCUUCUAGUUCACAGAGGGGUCUUGACCGUAUUCUAUACUACACGGAGGGAUCGACUGGGGAUGAAGAUGUCGUGACCGUGUACAUAUAGUUCACUGAGGGGCUUUGGACAUGUUCUAAAAUUGAUUAUUAGAGGUCUUUAAGACCCACUUUCGUGCACGGAGGGGGCCAAAGGCCCGUGGAAAAAGUGCUUAGUCCGAGGGGUGGAUUUCAGAUUUUAGUCAGAGGGUACAUUUUUUGUGGAUCACAUGCGAUGUGAUGAGAUAAUGGUAAAGAUAUCAACUAAUAACUAUGUCGUAAAUAUGAGAUGAUAUUUACCGAGUCAUGAGAAUGUCACAUUUUUUACUAUAAUUGUGUGAGGCUAUCGUAUGAAUUACUAAACAAUAUGAACUUGAUGUCUAUGUAUGAGAAAAAUGUUUAAAUGAGAAAGUAUAAUUAUUUUCGAACUCUUCCACUCACUGAACUGUAAACUCAUAUUUUUCCACAAUUUUUCUUACAGGUAGUAUUGGUCCUUGAUAGCUUGAGAAACCUAGUGGUUUUAGAAUUAGAGACACACGACAUAUUCAGUGAUACGAUUCAUUUUACCAAAACAUGAAGUAAUUAUUUCGGGCCCAUUGCAUUAUAUUUUUCAUAAACAUUUGAUUUUGGUGCAUAUUUUGUAGCAGCGCAUGGUUAGCCUUGGUGAUAGAUUUGGCAUCUAGUCAACGUCUAUCAUUGGUGCACAUCACGUUUCUGAUCCACUAGGAUAAUUCGUGACGGGUCAUGUCAGAUCACUAGCUACAAUAAGUUAAUUCGAUUGUUGACACGUAUGAAAAAGGUACUAUGUGAAUUGAAAUUAAAUGAACAUUAACAAACUAAGUGAAGUCGAAAAUCUUAACCAUUUAACCUCGUAAUUUUCUCAACUGGAUUUAAUUAGAUUAUUUAAUUUAGUUCAAGUAUAGCUAAGAAACACACCUUGAAUUGAUUCUGGUUAUUGUUUUAACAUAAUUUGAUAGUGGAUAGUACUAUGUGUGAAGAUGAUAUUGAUUGAAUUAAAAAUUCAUUUUAUUACAUUCACGAUUCGUACACCUACGAAAUUACAUGAACAAAUUUAUAGCAUCGUUGUGGGAAACUAAUUUGAUUUCUUUAGUUUUUGUUGUUAAUUCUGUCUUUUAUUUAAGUUUUCAUUUUUUUCUCAGUUGAUCUACUUGUUUUUCUUUAUUUUAUUGACAGAAAAAUAAAGGAAGCAGCAGCUCAACAACAACAUGAGAUGGGAGAUUUUGAAAUUAAUGAAGAUAGCAUAACUAUAGGGAAUUUCUCCGCCCUAGCACUCUUUAAAAUGAAUGGAUAUUAUGCACUUGUUGAGAUUGAUUAUGACUUGCUUUGAAGUAUUAUAGGGACUACAAGGUUUUCAAGUACAAGGUGAAAGUGAAGAUGAUGAGGAUGAUUUGUAAUUAAGAUUAUUAUGGACAUCACUGGAAUAUCGAGUACAACAUAAUCCAUAGAGCAAACACACAAUCCAAGUUUGGAGCAACUUUCAAAUCUCUAUUGGUCUGAAGGUUUAAAUAUUGAAACCCCACUAAUCUUCAUAAAUAAUGUGAGCAUACUCACGAAAAUUUCCUCGUACAACUAUCCAAAAUUUUAGAUAGUAGACCGAUUAUUUAACCUGAGAAGCCAACAAUAAAAGAAGAGGAGCAUGAAGAGACCGAGAAAUUAAUCAUAAUAGACCAAAAAGAAUUAAUAGCAUUUAAAGAAAAUGGAAUUA
rnacentral:lncRNA from 1 species